CACAAGAUUCUCGCAGGCGGCGAGAGACCCGACACCAAAUUGGGGGCGGCAAAAAAGAAACCAAACAUGAGGCGGUCAAAACGGAGUGGAGUGUGGAAGCAUUUCAAAUUAAUUGAUGAUGACAAAGACUCUCAAUGCAAACUUUGCGGUUCUACGAUUAAGUACAACAGCUCUACGAGUUUGCUAAGAUACCACCUUCAUAACUUGCAUACAGCCGUGUUGCAGGGAGGAAGUCUGUCGCGUUCACAACCUACAAUCGCUGCUUUGGUGGGAAGGCGAGUAUGUGACCACAGGAAAGCGGAGGGCAUUACUCAGAGGAUUUGCGGCAUGAUCGAAAAAGAUAUGAUGCCAGUUAGCACCACUGAUGGUGAGGGAUUUCGGGAGUUAAUACACUUCAUGGAGCCAGGAUAUAAUAUCCCUUCUCGAACUACCCACUUGGAAACACGCUACAAAAACGAGAAGGCUGAGCUAAAAACACAGUUAGCCGCGGCUAAUGUGGCUCUGACGACAGAUUGUUGGACGUCACUGACUUCAGAAAGCUACAUUACAAUCACUUGUCCUACACUGAAAACGACUGGCAGGUAAAGUCAGCAGUCCUUCUCACGGAGAGCCUCUCAGAGAGACAUAUAGCUGAUAAUUUAGCUGACAAACUCAACCAGGCUGUGGAGUCAUGGGGACUCCCCGGGCAUGUAAUAGCCUGUGUGCAUGACAACGCUCGGAACAUCGUCUCAGCAAACAACCCCGCACGAGUCAGUUGGAAAUCAGUUUCUUGCUUUGCACAUACUUUAAAUCUGGCCGUCAACAACGGAUUCGCUGCUGCUGGUGUCAACCGAGUAAUUGCAGCUGCUGGCAGAUUGGUGGUUGUGGAGGAUAUUUGGUUCAUCAGAAACAUCCACCAUGAGUCUGUCUCAGCAGAGCAUCUGCAUCAUCUCAAGUUUACUCUUAAAUUCAGUGUCUCUAUGUUUUAGUAAACUGUCCUGCAAACAAGGCCACAGUGGUCCAACCUAUGAAUCCAUGCAGGCUGUGUUUGACCUACAAUCCUUCAGGCCAGCAGUGAACCUCAGCAAUCCCACCAUAACCAACAUCUCCUUCACUCUGUAUGCUGUC